UCUGACCUCAAAUCAGGUAGGAUUACCCGCUGAACUUAAGCAUAUCAAUAAGCGGAGAAAAGAAACUAACAAGGAUUCCCUUA
rnacentral:rRNA from 1 species